CGGGUGAGUAACACGUGGGUAACCUACCUAUAAGACUGGGAUAACUUCGGGAAACCGGAGCUAAUACCGGAUAAUAUUUCGAACCGCAUGGUUCGAUAGUGAAAGAUGGUUUUGCUAUCACUUAUAGAUGGACCCGCGCCGUAUUAGCUAGUUGGUAAGGUAACGGCUUACCAAGGCGACGAUACGUAGCCGACCUGAGAGGGUGAUCGGCCACACUGGAACUGAGACACGGUCCAGACUCCUACGGGAGGCAGCAGUC
rnacentral:rRNA from 1 species